rnacentral:rRNA from 1 species
GACGAACGCUGGCGGCGUGCUUAACACAUGCAAGUCGUGCGGUAAGGCCCUGCUUUGGUGGGGUACACGAGCGGCGAACGGGUGAGUAACACGUGGGUGACCUGCCUUCAGCUUUGGGAUAAGCCUGGGAAACUGGGUCUAAUACCGGAUAUGACCUUGGGGUGCAUGCCUUGGGGUGGAAAGCCUGUGCUGUUUGGCAUGGGUGGCUGGGGAUGGGCCCGCGGUCUAUCAGCUGUUGGUGGGGUGAUGGCCUACCAAGGCGACGACGGGUAGCCGGCCUGAGAGGGCGUUCGGCCACACUGGGACUGAGACACGGCCCAGACUCCUACGGGAGGCAGCAGUGGGGAAUAUUGCGCAAUGGGCGGAAGCCUGACGCAGCGACGCCGCGUGGGGGAUGACGGCCUGGU